rnacentral:lncRNA from 1 species
UUAAGUAUUCAUCGGAGUGUGGAAAAUUAUGACAUCUGGAGUGCUCCUGACGUACGAUGAAAAAGAAAAGGAAACAAAUCAAGUGUUAAAUUUGAAGUAAGUUCAAAAAAAACCAUAAAAAUGUGAAGUAAGAUAAUAUAGUUAGUAUAAAAUGUGAAAUUAGGACUGACACUUUGUAAUUAAUUAACUUACUAGUUACAGUGAAACUUGGCUAUAGUUAGGGGAGUGUCCUGGACUCCUAGCUUCCCAAGUGAGGUG